rnacentral:lncRNA from 1 species
GGGAAGGAAGGUUGUCCUGUCGGGCUGGGGGCUCCCGGGAAUCCGGAGGCCAGCAGUGGAACCGCAAGGCUCUACAGGGCAGAUCUGCCUCCCGUGCUGUCUCAGCUACGCCGAGUCGUUGGCUCAGGGCGGAGGAUUUUCCUAUUGGCCGCGUUAUUUGAAUGGAAUGGAGGAUAGGUCGUGAAGGUGGAACCAAGCAGAGGGGUUCACCCAAGCCAUCUUUGGG